UACGUAGGAGGCGAGCGUUGUCCGGAGUUACUGGGCGUAAAGGGUGCGCAGGCCGCGCGGGCAGUCAAAUGUGUAAUUCAGGGGCUCAACCCCUGCACUGCGCUUGAUACUUCCGCGCUCGAGCUUUGGAGAGGAGUCUGGAAUUCUCGGUGUAGCAGUGAAAUGCGUGGAUAUCGAGAAGAACACUUAGGGCGUAGGCAAGACUCUGGACAAAUGCUGACGCUCAUGCACGAAGGCUAGGGUAGCGAACGGG
rnacentral:rRNA from 1 species